GCAAGUCGAACGGCAGCAUGGGCUUCGUCCUGAUUGCGAGUGGCGAACGGGUGAGUAAUACAUCGGAACGUGCCUAGUAGUGGGGGAUAACUACUCGAAAGAGUAGCUAAUACCGCAUGAGAUCUAAGGAUGAAAGCAGGGGACCUUCGGGCCUUGUGCUACUAGAGCGGCCGAUGGCAGAUUAGGUAGUUGGUGGGAUAAAAGCUUACCAAGCCGACGAUCUGUAGCUGGUCUGAGAGGACGACC
rnacentral:rRNA from 1 species